UACGGAGGGUGCAAACGUUGCUCGGAAUCAUUGGGCGUAAAGCGCACGUAGGCGGACUGUUAAGUCGGAUGUGAAAUCCCUCAGCUUAACUGAGGAAGUGCACUCGAAACUGGCAGUCUUGAGUAUGGAAGAGGGUCGCGGAAUUCCCGGUGUAGAGGUGAAAUUCGUAGAUAUCGGGAGGAACACCAGUGGCGAAGGCGGCGAUCUGGGUCGAUACUGACGCUGAGGUGCGAAAGCGUGGGGAGCAAACAGG
rnacentral:rRNA from 1 species